UUACAUAACAUAUUCUUGUCCAAAAUUAAAAUAUACUAGUAUAGUAUUUGUAUAUGCAAGAACUAAGAAGAUAUACAUACAAGUAUGAAAAAUGUGAAAGAAUAUAUAAACACUCGUGAUUUAUCAUUAUUCCUCCACGAAUAGAUAAUUGUUACACUUAUAUUAUCGUUUAGAUUUUUAAAAUCCUUCAAACCCUCAUGAAUAAUGUUUUUUAUUUGAGGGCAAAAUUAAUAAUAAUUAUUGUAGAAGUGUAAAAAAUGUAAAAAUAUAUAUAUACAAUCACUCAUAUAUAAAAAAGGUAAAUACUUUAAAUUAAAGAUCAAAUUUAUUCAUUACAUUCUUAUAAGGUCGAUGAGUGUAUAUGUACAAAAUCAUCAAAAUCGGAGCUAAAAUAACCGUUAAAUUGUGAUUUUUCGUUUAUAACCGUCGAAAACUUUUGUUCCGUUACGUAAUCUCUGAAUGUUUGUUUUUUAUGAUUUUUUACGUUUGCAAUCUCGGAAUGUGUACGAAUAAGUUUGACGGUUGGAUCGUUGAAAAUUUUUUUGUAGAAUGCAUAUUGCAUCAAAACGGUAGAUUAAACAAACACUUAGAGUUAAUAUUAUACUUCUAUUAAGUAUAAAAUAAGUUUUUGUGGUAUCCACUAGUGUAAAUACUUUAAAUUAAAGAUCAAAUUUAUUUAUUACAUUCUUAUGGGAUCGAGGAGUGUAUAUGUAAAAAUCAUCAAAAUCGGUGCUAAAAUAACCGUUAAAUUGUGAUUUUUUGUUUAUAACCGUUGAUAACUUUUGUUCCGUUACGUAAUCUCUGAAUGUUUGUUUUUUACGAUUUUUUACGUAUGCAAUCUU
rnacentral:lncRNA from 1 species